CCCGUGCAUACAGUUGAAUUUUGUUGCUUAAACAAUGUUACACAGUGCAAAACAAAAGCAGAAUGGAGACACUAUGCAAGAAGAGCUGAAUCACCUUUACAGCUGUUUUGCUGAAACGACAUGAAAU